UUCAAUAUUAUUAUAUCAGUAAUGGUAUGAUGGUAUGCACUUUUCUCUUAGUAAGACGAUGUGAUCCGUUAGAAAAUAAAAAGUGUUCUGUACAUAGGCCCGAAUAGGAGUUUAGGCUUUUUGUGAGUAUCAAUAAUUUGUUUUGUUGAGAAAGCGUCUAAACUAUUUGGUGUUCUUACAGAUAUCUGACGGUAUACUUAAAUACUACAUUUGAUGCUUCGGCAUCAGCAUAUUUAUAUGCAAUGUAUGUAUGAUCAACAUCGUUAUAGAUUUGGGAUACCAUCAGGACCCGUCUUGAAACACGGACCAAGGAGUUUAACUUGUAUGCGAGUCAAUGGGAUUAUUAAAACCUAUAGGCGAAAUAAACAUGACUUGUUAAUGGGAUUACAAACAAUACUAAUCAUAUUGUUUUUCCAUCCCCGGGUAUCUUAAUAUACGUGCUUGCACUAUAAAGAUAUACCGUGAGCAUACAAGCUGUGACCCGAAAGAUGGUGAACUAUGCCUGAUCAGGUUGAAGUCAGGGGAAACCCUGAUGGAAGACCGUAGCAAUUCUGACGUGCAAAUCG
rnacentral:rRNA from 1 species